rnacentral:misc_RNA from 1 species
GAUGAAGAACGCAGUGAAAUGCGAUAAGUAAUGUGAAUUGCAGAAUUCAGUGAAUCAUCGAAUCUUUGAACGCACCUUGCACCCUUUGGCAUUCUGAAGGGUAUGCUCGUUUGAGUGUCAUUGUACUCUCACACUCCCGAUCUUUGCAUUGGGAGCAGUGGACUUGGGUUUGCUGCUUCACCGUCGCUUACCUCAAAUAGGUUAGUGCAACUCUUGGUUGGACAUAGUACGGCGUGAUAAGUGUUCUUCGCCGGUGCCUCGCAAAGAGGGUGGCCGCUCGGGAUGUUGUGCUCCAAACCGUCUUCGGACAAUCUCUGACGACUUGACCUCAAAUCGAGUAAGACUACCCGCUGAACUUAAGCAUAUCAAUAAGCGGAGGA